AACGAUGUCGACUUGGAGGUUGUGCCCUUGAGGCGUGGCUUCCGGAGCUAACGCGUUAAGUCGACCGCCUGGGGAGUACGGCCGCAAGGUUAAAACUCAAAUGAAUUGACGGGGGCCCGCACAAGCGGUGGAGCAUGUGGUUUAAUUCGAUGCAACGCGAAGAACCUUACCUGGUCUUGACAUCCACGGAAGUUUUCAGAGAUGAGAAUGUGCCUUCGGGAACCGUGAGACAGGUGCUGCAUGGCUGUCGUCAGCUCGUGUUGUGAAAUGUUGGGUUAAGUCCCGCAACGAGCGCAACCCUUAUCCUUUGUUGCCAGCGGUCCGGCCGGGAACUCAAGGAGACUGCCAGUGAUAAACUGGAGGAAGGUGGGGAUGACGUCAAGUCAUCAUGGCCCUUACGACCAGGGCUACACACGUGCUACAAUGGCGCAUACAAAGAGAAGCGACCUCGCGAGAGCAAGCGGACCUCAUAAAGUGCGUCGUAGUCCGGAUUGGAGUCUGCAACUCGACUCCAUGAAGUCGGAAUCGCUAGUAAUCGUGGAUCAGAAUGCCACGGUGAA
rnacentral:rRNA from 1 species